rnacentral:pre_miRNA from 1 species
UCCAGUUUUUUUCCGCGGUAAUAACGCGAGCAAGUCCUAUCACCGGGAGAAAAACUGGAGU